UACAGAGGGGGCAAGCGUUAUUCGGAAUUAUUGGGCGUAAAGGGCGCGUAGGCGGCUUUUCAAGUGACGGGUGAAAUCCCUCGGCUUAACCGAGGAACUGCCUGUCAGACUGGAAGGCUUGAGACCGGGAGAGGUGAGUGGAAUUCCCAGUGUAGCGGUGAAAUGCGUAGAUAUUGGGAGGAACACCAGUGGCGAAGGCGGCUCACUGGACCGGAACUGACGCUGAGGCGCGACAGCGUGGGGAGCGAACUGG
rnacentral:rRNA from 1 species